GGGGCCGUAGCGCAGUUGGGAGAGCGCUACAAUGGCAUUGUAGAGGUCAGGGGUUCGAUUCCCCUCGGCUCCACCA
rnacentral:tRNA from 1 species